GCCGGGCCCCCCUGCCUCGUCCUGCCCGCGCGUCGGGGCCGGCGCGGUGCUGCUGGCGCGGCCCGGACAGUGGCAGGUGUGCCACCUUGGAGGUGUCUUUUUGAAGUUUCAACUGAUAUACAAAGUUAUUGUGAGUUACCUGCCCUGUCACUACGGCGGUGGGAGAGACUGAAGACGAGAGCAACGCCAAGUCCGAAGACUUCAAAUGAAAGAAGCUGGCUGGGAGAACUUUGCCGAGAAGCGAUCCGCAGCAGAGCCGCGGUGGAAAUGGCUCCAGCAACACAGUUGCAAUUCUCGCAGCUGUGUGAGAGAGCCGGGGGUAAAUGCAGCCCCUGCGCAGCUGGUCCCUCUCAGAAGAACCGAGUUUGGGCAAGAAGUACUGUCUGGAGAUCUAAGAAUAUACAUGAAGUCAUCAUUACUGAUGGAAGGAAGCAGGGGAAAGCUGCAAAACUACUGGAGAACUGCACAUUCAUUAUGUGCAAAAAAAGAAAAAAGAAAAAAAAAGAAAGAAAAAGAAAGAAAAAGAGAAAGUAGUAUUAGGACUACACUACUGCAAUCCAAUGCCACUCCUGUGCACUGACUGCGUGAAUGAAAGCAACUUCAUUGUGCUAAGAGAAGGAUCAUUUGCAGCAACGGAAGGACUGAAGAGUAGUGAUGGAUUAGCAAAAGGCAGAGAAGAGUCAAGAGAAUGUGGGAGACAGAAAUUGGUAUGAUUCUGCAGUUUAGUUCACCUUCAUGGUAAGGAGUCUGUCAAAUAUUAUUACCAUGUAAAGACUGAAGACCAAUAUUUAUUGAGAACAAUACACAUGUAUGUAAUGGGGAAGAGUUUAUACAGAACAG
ensembl:lncRNA